UACGUAGGGGUGCGAGCGUUUGUCCGGAAUUACUGGGCGUAAAGAGCUCGUAGGUGGUUUGUCGCGUUGUCCGUGAAAACUCACAACUCAAUUGUGGGCGUGCGGGCGAUACGGGCAGACUGGAGUACUGCAGGGGGAGACUGGAAUUCCUGGUGUAGCGGUGGAAUGCGCAGAUAUCAGGAGGAACACCGGUGGCGAAGGCGGGUCUCUGGGCAGUAACUGACGCUGAGGAGCGAAAGCGUGGGGGAGCGAACAGG
rnacentral:rRNA from 1 species